rnacentral:piRNA from 2 species
GCAUAAGGAUCUGCACACCUAUGGGCCAA